rnacentral:rRNA from 1 species
UACGUAGGGUGCAAGCGUUGUCCGGAAUUAUUGGGCGUAAAGAGCUCGUAGGCGGUCUGUCGCGUCGAUCGUGAAAACUUGGGGCUUAACCCUGAGCUUGCGGUCGAUACGGGCAUGACUGGAGUUCGGCAGGGGAGACUGGAAUUCCUGGUGUAGCGGUGAAAUGCGCAGAUAUCAGGAGGAACACCGGUGGCGAAGGCGGGUCUCUGGGCCGAUACUGACGUGAGGAGCGAAAGCGUGGGGAGCGAACAGG